rnacentral:rRNA from 1 species
UACGUAGGGGGCAAGCGUUGUCCGGAUUUAUUGGGCGUAAAGAGCGUGUAGGCGGGCAGACAGGUCCGUUGUGAAAACUCGAGGCUCAACCUCGAGAUGUCGAUGGAAACCGUCUGGCUAGAGUCCGGAAGAGGAGUGUGGAAUUCCUGGUGUAGCGGUGAAAUGCGCAGAUAUCAGGAAGAACACCUAUGGCGAAGGCAGCACUCUGGGACGGUACUGACGCUGAGACGCGAAAGCGUGGGGAGCGAACAGG